GAUGAUAGAGGCGCGAAGACCAUCAGUAGCCCCGCCGAGGCGCUCAAACGCCGGCGACGCGGGAGGAAAGGGAGCUUCGCCGAAAUGGGACGCCGUUUGGGAGGCGGACUGUUGGGCGGCUGGAGAACAUCCAGCCGACUGUCACGUUGCGUGGAGUGCUAUCG
rnacentral:ncRNA from 1 species